UACGUAGGGACCAAGCGUUGUUCGGAUUUACGUGGCGUAAAGGGCGCGUAGGCGGCGUGUUAAGUCAGCUGUGAAAUCUCCAAGCUUAACUUGGAACGGUCAGCUGAUACUGAUGUGCUAGAGUGCAGAAGGGGCAAUCGGAAUUCUUGGUGUAGCGGUGAAAUGCGUAGAUAUCAAGAGGAACACCUGAGGUGAAGACGGGUUGCUGGGCUGACACUGACGCUGAGGCGCGAAAGCUAGGGUAGCAAACGGG
rnacentral:rRNA from 1 species